GCGGCGGCGCGGUUGCGAUUCCGAGCCGUUGAGACGCCUCUGCGGCAGCUGGUGGCGCAGGUGGCUUGCGUGGACGCGGGUAGAGGCGACCGGCCAGCAACCGCAGCGUCGGCGCCCGCGGCCCCGGCAGCAGGCGCGUCGGGACGCCCCGAGGCAUCCUCCCCCGCCCGCGGGCCCGACAGCUGGGCCCGCGUCCGCCGCCCGCAUCCCCGCGCCGCCGCAUCUCCUCGCCGCCUCUCGGGCUUCGGACCCCCGGUCUCGCCCCCGAAACAUGACUCGCGAUUUCAAACCUGGAGACCUCAUCUUCGCCAAGAUGAAAGGUUAUCCCCAUUGGCCAGCUCGAGUAGACGAAGUUCCUGAUGGAGCUGUAAAGCCACCCACAAACAAACUACCCAUUUUCUUUUUUGGAACUCAUGAGACUGCUUUUUUAGGACCAAAGGAUAUAUUUCCUUACUCAGAAAAUAAGGAAAAGUAUGGCAAGCCAAAUAAAAGAAAAGGUUUUAAUGAAGGUUUAUGGGAGAUAGAUAACAAUCCAAAAGUGAAAUUUUCAAGUCAACAGAGACAGGGUUUUGUCAUGUUGGCCAGACUACUCUCAAACUCCUGACUUCAGGUGAUCCACCCGCCUCAGCCUCCCAAAGUGCUGGGAUUACAGAUGUGAGCCACUGCGCCCAGCCUUUAAUUUCUAAAUCCAUUGAAUUGUAUUAGAAUAUGAACCUCAUGAGUUAAAUUA
rnacentral:sRNA from 1 species